GCAUCGGUGGUAUAACGGUUAGCAUAGCUGCCUUCCAAGCAGUUGACCCGGGUUCGACUCCCGGUAGACGCA
rnacentral:tRNA from 1 species